GUAGGAGUGAGCCUGCUCGCGAUGGCAGUGUGUCAGUCAAUAUUUGCGUUUGCUGACACGACUCUAUCGCGAGCAGGCUCACUCCUAC
rnacentral:misc_RNA from 1 species